rnacentral:rRNA from 1 species
GGUUAAGCGACUAAGCGUACACGGUGGAUGCCCUGGCAGUCAGAGGCGAUGAAGGACGUGCUAAUCUGCGAAAAGCGCCGGCGAGGUGAUAUGAACCCUUGACCCGGCGAUGUCCGAAUGGGGAAACCCAGUGUGUUUCGACACACUAUCGUUAACUGAAUACAUAGGUUAACGAGGCGAACCGGGGGAACUGAAACAUCUAAGUACCCCGAGGAAAAGAAAUCAACCGAGAUUCCCCCAGUAGCGGCGAGCGAACGGGGAGCAGCCCGGAGUCUGAAUCAGCUUGUGUGUUAGUGGAACGGUCUGGAAAGUCCGACGGUACAGGGUGAUAGUCCCGUACACGAAAAUGCACUUGCUGUGAACUCGAAGAGUAGGGCGGGACACGUGGUAUCCUGUCUGAAUAUGGGGGGACCAUCCUCCAAGGCUAAAUACUCCUGACUGACCGAUAGUGAACCAGUACCGUGAGGGAAAGGCGAAAAGAACCCCGGCGAGGGGAGUGAAAAAGAACCUGAAACCGUGUACGUACAAGCAGUGGGAGCACCUUCGGGUGUGACUGCGUACCUUUUGUAUAAUGGGUCAGCGACUUAUAUUCUGUAGCAAGGUUAACCGUAUAGGGGAGCCGAAGGGAAACCGAGUCUUAACUGGGCGUUAAGUUGCAGGGUAUAGACCCGAAACCCGGUGAUCUAGCCAUGGGCAGGUUGAAGGUUGGGUAACACUAACUGGAGGACCGAACCGACUAAUGUUGAAAAAUUAGCGGAUGACCUGUGGCUGGGGGUGAAAGGCCAAUCAAACCGGGAGAUAGCUGGUUCUCCCCGAAAGCUAUUUAGGUAGCGCCUCGUGAACUCAUCUUCGGGGGUAGAGCACUGUUUCGGCUAGGGGGCCAUCCCGGCUUACCAACCCGAUGCAAACUACGAAUACCGAAGAAUGUUAUCACGGGAGACACACGGCGGGUGCUAACGUCCGUCGUGAAGAGGGAAACAACCCAGACCGCCAGCUAAGGUCCCAAAGUCAUGGUUAAGUGGGAAACGAUGUGGGAAGGCACAGACAGCCAGGAUGUUGGCUUAGAAGCAGCCAUCAUUUAAAGAAAGCGUAAUAGCUCACUGGUCGAGUCGGCCUGCGCGGAAGAUGUAACGGGGCUAAACCAUGCACCGAAGCUGCGGCAGCGACACUAUGUGUUGUUGGGUAGGGGAGCGUUCUGUAAGCCGUUGAAGGUGUGCUGUGAGGCAUGCUGGAGGUAUCAGAAGUGCGAAUGCUGACAUAAGUAACGAUAAAGCGGGUGAAAAGCCCGCUCGCCGGAAGACCAAGGGUUCCUGUCCAACGUUAAUCGGGGCAGGGUGAGUCGACCCCUAAGGCGAGGCCGAAAGGCGUAGUCGAUGGGAAACAGGUUAAUAUUCCUGUACUUGGUGUUACUGCGAAGGGGGGACGGAGAAGGCUAUGUCAGCCGGGCGACGGUUGUCCCGGUUUAAGCAUGUAGGCGGAGGUUCCAGGUAAAUCCGGUACCUUUUAACGCUGAGGUGUGAUGACGAGGCACUACGGUGCUGAAGUGAUAAAUGCCCUGCUUCCAGGAAAAGCCUCUAAGCAUCAGGUAACACGAAAUCGUACCCCAAACCGACACAGGUGGUCAGGUAGAGAAUACCAAGGCGCUUGAGAGAACUCGGGUGAAGGAACUAGGCAAAAUGGUGCCGUAACUUCGGGAGAAGGCACGCUGAUAUGUAGGUGAAGUCCCUGCGGACGGAGCUGAAAUCAGUCGAAGAUACCAGCUGGCUGCAACUGUUUAUUAAAAACACAGCACUGUGCAAACACGAAAGUGGACGUAUACGGUGUGACGCCUGCCCGGUGCCGGAAGGUUAAUUGAUGGGGUUAGCGGCAACGCGAAGCUCUUGAUCGAAGCCCCGGUAAACGGCGGCCGUAACUAUAACGGUCCUAAGGUAGCGAAAUUCCUUGUCGGGUAAGUUCCGACCUGCACGAAUGGCGUAAUGAUGGCCAGGCUGUCUCCACCCGAGACUCAGUGAAAUUGAACUCGCUGUGAAGAUGCAGUGUACCCGCGGCAAGACGGAAAGACCCCGUGAACCUUUACUAUAGCUUGACACUGAACACUGGUCCUUGAUGUGUAGGAUAGGUGGGAGGCUUUGAAGCGUGGACGCCAGUCUGCGUGGAGCCAUCCUUGAAAUACCACCCUUUAAUGGCUGGUGUUCUAACGUAGACCCGUAAUCCGGGUUGCGGACAGUGUCUGGUGGGUAGUUUGACUGGGGCGGUCUCCUCCCAAAGAGUAACGGAGGAGCACGAAGGUUGGCUAAUCCUGGUCGGACAUCAGGAGGUUAGUGCAAUGGCAUAAGCCAGCUUGACUGCGAGCGUGACGGCGCGAGCAGGUGCGAAAGCAGGUCAUAGUGAUCCGGUGGUUCUGAAUGGAAGGGCCAUCGCUCAACGGAUAAAAGGUACUCCGGGGAUAACAGGCUGAUACCGCCCAAGAGUUCAUAUCGACGGCGGUGUUUGGCACCUCGAUGUCGGCUCAUCACAUCCUGGGGCUGAAGUAGGUCCCAAGGGUAUGGCUGUUCGCCAUUUAAAGUGGUACGCGAGCUGGGUUUAGAACGUCGUGAGACAGUUCGGUCCCUAUCUGCCGUGGGCGCUGGAGAAUUGAGGGGGGCUGCUCCUAGUACGAGAGGACCGGAGUGGACGCAUCACUGGUGUUCGGGUUGUCAUGCCAAUGGCACUGCCCGGUAGCUAAAUGCGGAAGAGAUAAGUGCUGAAAGCAUCUAAGCACGAAACUUGCCCCGAGAUGAGUUCUCCCUGAGACUUUAAGUCUCCUGAAGGAACGUUGAAGACGACGACGUUGAUAGGUCGGGUGUGUAAGCGCAGCGAUGCGUUGAGCUAACCGAUACUAAUGAACCGUGAGGCUUAACCUU